rnacentral:lncRNA from 1 species
UCCGGUCAACAUCCUGCUUCCUGCAGGGCCCUCCCGGGAGGCCCGGCCAGGGAGGGCACACAGAGGGGUGUUUGUUCGCAGUGGGCGGCGGGGAGAGAUGCUAAUCGCUGCGGAUCGCUGGGCCCAGCUGAAGGUCAGGAGGUAACGCGACCCGCGGUUAUAAAUAACAGCGCCUGGCGGCUGCUGAGAGCCACUCGCUGGAUCGGCGCCCCUCGCCGGCCCGCGGGCACGGAUUGAUUACUGCCCUCCCCAGCCGGCCUGCAGGAACCUGAACCCUGAGACAGCCGCAGCGCGGUGACCUUUGGGGGUGGCGCGCAAGGUCAGACCAGGCCCCUGGGCUUUCCUGUCCUCUGCUGGGGGGAGUAGGUGGGGAGGAGUCACUGAAGUCCCACCUUCGCCACCCCUGCACACCACCACCACCACCCACCCAGGCCCUCCUCGCUGCCACCAUAAGGUGAAAGGAGGCUGCAGGACCCAGGGACCCAGGCGGCCCGCUCGCUCCACUCCGGCGUCCCUCAAUCCCUAUCCUGCUCAUGGAUGAUGGCAGGCAGGCCAAAGGGACCCAGCCAGGGAGGGCCAGCCCACAGCCACACCCGGCCCCGCUUCUAGAGCCCAAACUGAACCCAAACUAUGAUGGUGGGGUUGAGUCCAGAGCCCCAGGCAUUCUCUGCUGUAUGGAAACAGAUCCCCUAGACCGGGGCUUCAGGGGUCUUAGAGGCUUGGGGAGGGGAAUGAUUACUGGGGGCAUCUGGGGAGGCUGGCACCUCUCCCACCUCCCUUUGGAGAGAGUGUGCCAUUUAUUUUUUAAACUCUAUCCCCCCCCCCGGAGUUAAGUACACACACUGAACAGUAUACAAAAGCGUUCAGCUGGGUCACUUUGCACUAGCAGAACAUACCCGGCCAACGCCCAGAUCAGAAAACAGCCCCUCCAGGCCCCAGAAGGCCCACAAGGCCCCUCCCACUGAGCACCCCCAAAGAUAAGGCCUCUGCUGACUCCCAACCUCCCCGGCUCUGGCCUGCUUCUGAGCAUGCAUGCAGGGCGCACACAGUCCGUGCCCUUUGGUGUCUGGUUUCUCUUGCUCAGGGUUGUGUUCCUGAGGUUCCGCUCCUCUCUCGGGAGUCAGGGGCCACUCAUCCUGCUGGGAGCUUGCCCUUGUGUGACUCUCUCACCAUUUAUUCACCCAUUUUGCUGUUGAUGGACACUGGGGCAGGUUCCAGCUCCUGGCUGUCCUGAAGAGCGCCUCUGGGCACACUGCAUCCUGGGGGCUUGUGGAGGACAGGUGUGUGUCUGCUCAGCUUUGAAGAUCCAGGAAGUGUUACUUUUUAAUUGAACAUUUCAGCAAAAGUGAAAUUUCAAGGUUAAUUUAUUUUUCAUUCUUAAAAAAUGACAAGAACACCACUGUUUUUUUAAAAAAUGGGAAAAGAUGGAAUUGUAAAAAAGAAAGAAAAGAGACAUGGUGGCGCACACACUGCAAUUCUAGCCUGAACUGAGGCUGGAGGAGAUCUCAAGUUGGGGGCCAGCCUUGGCAACAUAGUGAGAACCUGCCUCAAAGUAAAAAAUAAAAAACACUGGCUAUGUGGCUCAGUGGUAGAGCACCCCUGGGUUUAAUCCCCAGGGCUGAAAAAAAUAAAUAAAAUAAAGAGCACCCAUUACUACUAUUUCUAGUCAACCAUCCCACCAGCCAAUGGAUGUUUUCUCAGAGGCUCUUAUGUGUCAAACCCUGGGCAAGAGACCCAGUUCCUCCUUCAGGCUGCCUGGGGCCUAGGCCAGGUCAGCAGUGGCAUCACCCAGGGAGAGACCAGGGCCUCUGCACCUUCUGUGGCCUCCAUCAGCCGCCCCUCACCCACCAGGGCUGCCCCCAUCUGCAUCCAAGCUGAGGCCAGAGAGCCAAACCAUCCAGAGAGCUUGCCAGCCAGGCCUUGUCCAGCGAGGCUGUGCCCAAGAACUCAGAGCAGGAAGACUUGAAGCCACAGCACAGUCCACUGCAGUCAAGCCAGGAGAGGGCUGGAGCAAGGAGGAGCAGGCUGGGCUGUGGUCCCCCAGGCAGGCAGCAGUAAGGGGCUGGUCCCCAGGGCAGCUCUCAGGAGGAGGGGAGCCUGGUUGUGAGGCCCUAGUGGGCUGGACUUUGGACUUCAUCCUGAGGCCACUGGAGGGGGUUAAACCUAGGAGUGAGCUGACCAGUCCGCUUCUAGCAAGAUCAUUCUGGAUCCCUGUGGAAUUUGGCCCAUAGUGACAAGAGCAGGGCCAGAGACCUUCAGAGACUGGCACCUGAUAAGUUAGGGCAGUUGUGAGAGUCAGGGUCAGCAUGACAGUGGGGGAGGGGAGUCUAUUUCAGAUAGGGUGGUCAGGAAAGGCCUCUCUGAGGAGGGCACUUCUUAGCUGAGGCCUAGAGGAAGUGAAGGAAUAAAGCUCUUGGGGCAGGGGAGGAGGGGAACUAUCCAAGUAAAGGGUACAGCAAGUGCAAAGACCCUGAGGCAGAUGCACAUGUGUCAGAGAAGCCAGUGUGUGAGGACUGCAGUGCGGACUGGAGAACAGAGGGAAGACCUAGCAGGGCCAUUGCGAGGGUUUAAGAAGGCAAGGCCUGAUCUUGUUUUUGUUACGGAAGGAUCACUCUGUGUGCUCUGAGAACAGACUUGGGUGGAGUGGUGGGUGGGGGGCUCAAGUCAGGGGAAAAGUAGAGGCCUGACCGUCAGUGUGGUAGGAGGUGGUCUCACUUUAUGCAGAUUGUGAAGGUGGCAUCCAGAGCAUUUGUGGAUGGACUAGAUGUGGCCUGUGAGAGGAAGCAGGGCCUGGUUGAUGGUUGCUGGUUGCCCAUUCACGUCCUCUUAUCUCCCCUGAUCUCUGGGUGUCUCCCCUCUGCCUGUGUCCUCCCUCUUCUUAUCUCCCAUUCCCUGUCCUCCCCUCCCUCUGCCUUUCCCUUCUCACUCCUCCUCUCCCUCACCCCUCUGCCCGGCCUCCCCUGCCCCAUCUCUUCUAUUUCAGGAGUCCAGUGACUUCAUGCUGUCACCUCCCGCAGGCCAGAGAUGCUGCCCUUGAGGACAGGCAGCAGCCCUGAUGACUGUGGCCAGGGCCCAGAGGCUGGGAGCUAAGGAGAAGGUAGAUGUGGCUCCCAGGACCCACCCUGGAGCGCCCGCCUCCCCUGGUGGGAAAGCCCAGUCUCCACCUGGGGCAUGUCCAUCCCUGAGCCCCAGAGGCUCAUGGGAAAUCCUGAAAGCAAAGCCCAGGGUUCUUCAAUGCCCUCAUGUAGCCCCUGCUCCACUUGGCGGGCUUUGGGGCCAGGGGCUCUCCAGGCCUCCUCCCUGCCCUAGUGGAGAAAAAAAUACACUAGCUGAGGACUGGCGUUGUAGCUCAGUUGGUGGAUCAUUUGCCUGGCUUGUGUCAGGCACUGGGUCCGAUCCUCAGCACCACAUAAAAAUGAAUAAAUUAACUAAAGGUAUUGUGUCUG